UACAGAGGGUGCGAGCGUUAAUCGGAAUUACUGGGCGUAAAGGGCGCGUAGGCGGUUAUAUAAGUUAGAUGUGAAAUCCCCGGGCUUAACCUGGGAACUGCAUUUAAGACUGUAUGGCUAGAGUAGAAUAGAGGGAAGUGGAAUUUCCGGUGUAGCGGUGAAAUGCGUAGAUAUCGGAAAGAACACCAGUGGCGAAGGCGGCUUCCUGGAUUCAUACUGACGCUGAGGCGCGAAAGCAUGGGGAGCAAACAGG
rnacentral:rRNA from 1 species